ACUGAUUUGAUGAGGCUGCCAUUCACUCCGUCGGGCUGCGUGUGGGAUUCAUCAGGACCCAGCCUCGAUCUCUUUCACCCCCAUCAAUGUGUCCUAAGGAUUUUUCUUUAAACCUGAUUGCUUGGAAGGCAUUCAACCCUGGUUACCAUCUGGUCGGCUGGACCAUGAGUGUUUCAAGGGCAAGGCCAUGUCUGAUUCAAUUCCACAUCCAUAGCACGUAAAGCAACGUCUGGCAGAGCAAAGAACUGAUCCAUCAAUUGAAUGACAUCAUGACCAAUCUACGAAUUCUGGCUUACUUGUCAUGCUAUUAUCACAUCUGCCAAGGACCCAAGUGACCACCUGGUAAUUACUUCAACAGCAGAGCGACUCAUACAGCCAGCAGUCCACUUUGUUGUGAUCUGUAGAUCCUGCCUGUGGUGUUGGAUCUAACAGCUUCUUCCCUGACCCAAGAUUAUGAAGGAUUUCUCCUGUGUUCUCUUCUAAAAAUUUUACAUUUAGGUAUAUAAU